ACUCAAAUGAAUUGACGGGGGCCCGCACAAGCAGCGGAGCAUGUGGUUUAAUUCGAAGCAACGCGAAGAACCUUACCUAGACUUGACAUCUCCUGAAUAAUCGGUAAUUCGAUGAAGCCUUUCGGGGCAGGAAGACAGGUGGUGCAUGGUUGUCGUCAGCUCGUGUCGUGAGAUGUUGGGUUAAGUCCCGCAACGAGCGCAACCCUUAUUGUUAGUUGCUACCAUUAAGUUGAGCACUCUAAUGAGACUGCCGUGGUUAACGCGGAGGAAGGUGGGGAUGACGUCAAAUCAUCAUGCCCCUUAUGUCUAGGGCUACACACGUGCUACAAUGGUGAGUACAAAGAGACGCAAUAUCGUGAGGUGGAGCAAAACUCAAAAACUCAUCCCAGUUCGGAUUGUAGGCUGAAACUCGCCUACAUGAAGCCGGAGUUGCUAGUAAUCGCGAAUCAGCAUGUCGCGGUGAAUACGUUCCCGGGCCUUGCACACACCGCCCGU
rnacentral:rRNA from 1 species